GCCCUGGAGUGGGGCCUGUACCUGUCCAAGGCUUGUGCUGUCCCCUGUGGGAGAUGAGAAGGGUCCCUGCAUUGGGCUCUUGGGGACCCAUCUUGGACAUGAGUGAGAAUGAAGAGGGUCCCUGCAUUGGGCUCUAGCAUGUGACUUAAAAUGGAUUUAGGCCUGUACCAGACAUCUCAUGUCUGACAUAAAAUAUUUACACUCAGGACAUUACUAGAGAAGCAGAAAAAAGCUAACCACCUCCCUCCUGAGCCUGGAUGGAAUGGAGGAGGGGACUGUGGACCCCAGAUAAUUCCCCUGUCACCACUGUGACUCUAACAACCUCUUGAAUCACGGCCAACAUCUAUCCCAUAGGAAGGACUUUAUAUCCCCUAGAAAAUACAGAGGAAGUCAGCUCUCAGCUUUUCCAUGACCAACCCAGCCAAGGAGCAAGGCUGGGCACAACCUGGGCUCUGUGACCUCCUAUGAGCUGACUCAGCCACCUUCGGUGUCAGUGGCCCCAGGACAGACGGCCAGGAUUACUUGUGGGGGAAACAACAUUGGAAGUAAAGCUGUGCACUGGUACCAGCAGAAGCCAGGCCAGGCCCCUGUGCUGGUCAUCUAUUAUGAUAGCGACCGGCCCUCUGGGAUCCCUGAGCGAUUCUCUGGCUCCAACUCUGGGAACACGGCCACUCUGACCAUCAGCAGGGUCGAAGCUGGGGAUGAGGCCGACUAUUACUGUCAGGUGUGGGACAGUAGUAGUAAACAUGACACAGUG
rnacentral:lncRNA from 1 species